rnacentral:rRNA from 1 species
GGAAACUCUGAUGCAGCCAUGCCGCGUGCAGGAUGACGGCCCUACGGGUUGUAAACUGCUUUUUUACAAGAAGAAACCUUGGUACGUGUACCAACUUGACGGUAUUGUAAGAAUAAGCACCGGCUAACUCCGUGCCAGCAGCCGCGGUAAUACGGAGGGUGCAAGCGUUAUCCGGAUUUAUUAGGUUUAAAGGGUUCGCAGGCGGAAUUUUAAGUCAGUGGUGAAAGCCUAUAGCUCAACUAUAGAACUGCCACUGAUACUGAUAUUCUUGAGUGUAGAUGAAGUGGGCGGAAUAUGUCAUGUAGCGGUGAAAUGCAUAGAUAUGACAUGGAACACCAAUUGCGAAGGCAGCUCACUAAACUAUUACUGACGCUCAUGAACGAAAGCAUGGGGAGCGAACAGGAUUAGAUACCCUGGUAGUCCAUGCUGUAAACUAUGAUCACUAGAUGUUGGCGAUAUAUUGUCAGUGUUUAAGAGAAAUCGUUAAGUGAUCCACCUGGGGAGUACGUU